rnacentral:rRNA from 1 species
AAGGUAGCAUAAUCAUUAGUUUUUUAAUUGAAAGCUUGUAUGAAGGGUUGGAUGAGAAAAUAACUGUCUCUACCUAAAUUUAUUAGAAUUUUAUUUUUAAGUAAAAAAGCUUAAAUAAAUAUUGAAGACGAGAAGACCCUAUAGAGUUUUAUAUUUUUAAUUAUUAAAUAUUUUAGUAUUAUAAAGGUUAAUAGUUAAAUUUAUUUAGUUGGGGUGAUUGAAAAAUUUAAUUAACUUUUUUUUUAUUUAUACAUUGAUUUAUGAAUAAUUGAUCCUUAUAUAAAGAUUAUAAGAUAAAAUUAC